UUUGAUUGACAUACAUUGUUUGAUUCUUCUUCAACAGCCUAAGUUUUUGGGGUCAAUACAUAAUAUCAAAACCUCCAGUCCUCAUUUUCUCUUUAUAUUUCUCUUUAUACUACCUUCUCUGGUGCAUGAUUUAGGCUAGCUUGAUAUAUAUUGUUGUCUCAUUCUCGGCCAAUCAGUAUAAAAUUCAUGACGGCCAAUAGUUCCUUUCUGGCAAACCAUCUCCCAGUGAAAGACACUUUAAAGACAAUAGGAAAAUCCUUAAAAUUUACACUAGAGAAAGCAUUGUUCUUGUUUUAUUUUCAUCUGAAGGUGACAUAUGACAUAUUGUCUCAGUCUGAAGAAACAAACAAGUGGUCAAUUCUAAGUUACAUACACGAU
rnacentral:lncRNA from 1 species